UAUAGGUCCAGUACAAUGUUAUGAGAGGUGGGCGUCCAAGGAAAGAUCUCUCAGUGCUCCUUAAUUCUGGAGAAUAAGCCAGCAUCGCAACUUUGGGAGCGCUCAGACAGCCCUCACAGAGAAAUCCACAUGGUGCACAACUGAGUCCGACUGCUAACAACCAGCACUGCGUUUCUAGGCACGCGAGUGAGUGUACUGGACGUGAAUCUGCCAGCCUCAGCCAUACCUUCAGAUGACUGCAGCCCAGCCAACAGCUCGAUGCAGCUGCUUGUGGAAACCAGACGGUGUGGCAGAGGACAGCGGUGCAGCCAACGGGCACCUGUGGCUCACGGUCAUCAUGGGGAGCAGGAGCACCGCAUCGACCUGCACAUGAUCCGGCCGCACAUGAAGGUACCCGUGGUCACCCGGGACGCCAGACCCCCUGCUGGGCCCGGAAGACCCUCCGUGCCCCUGCGUGGCUCAGAGCCCAGCGACGGCCGCCCUCACAGGCUACCACAGCGAGGGCCUCAACGCCAUCAUCAUCUAUGCCGCCAGCUUCCUCCAGGACAGCAGCUGCCCGGACUACCACUAAGUCCUGGAGAACCUCUUCCUGAGAUUGUAAUAAAAAUGGAAGAAGAACCACGUUCUGCUUUGGACUCUGAAUCAGAGACUUAAUUCUUGUAGAUCCCAGGCUGGCUUUAUGUGGAGAAUGAUGCUUUGUAUACAGGAAGCACUUCAGAAUGUGGCAAGUGAGAACAUUUUUACAAUUUGUUUAUGAAUUCCAGAAAUGAGAUGGUGUUUUACUCUGAAGAAAUACAAUGUUUCAUAUUUCAAAAGAACUUUUAUUGAAGAAUAAAAGAUAUGCAAAUUUAAAACAGGACCUAAUUCCACUAUACAACCAAGAGAACAUCUAAAAGAAGAAAGACAAGCAAUUCCUACUGUUGGUAAGAAGGCUAAACAACUGCAACGCCUAUAAACUGUUUGCAGGAAUAUAAACUACAAUGUUUUACAGAUACCCUAGAAAACUUGUUGUCAGCUACUAGAAACUAAAUAUGUACUUUAUAUGCCAGUAAUCUCUUUCCUAGAUAUAUAUACCCAACAGAAAUGACUUUAUGUCCUACAAAAGACAUUCUCAUAAAGCAGUAUACGGAAUAGCCAAAGACUGGAAAUAACCCAAAUUGUCAACAAAAACAUAAUGGAAAAAUAAAUUGUCCUUCAGUCACACAACUGCAACAAUGGUUUUCAAGCUUGUGGUUUCUGUAACUGUAUAUGAUUUGGGUGGUAAUCCUAAAAGACAUCAGUUCCAAAGACAAUAAUCCCAAAUGUUGCUAUGAAUGUCUCUAAAGAUGGAAAUCUGAGAACUAUAAUUCUGAAUAAAAGAAGCUAAUUCUUUAAAAGACAUUGGUUUUCAUUUUUAAAAUAUUAAUUAAAAGGAACAUAUAAAAGCACAGCAGAACACUUCAUAAGCCACUUUACACAAUAAAACAGGCAAUAAUUAUGCAUGUUUUCUCAUGCAUAAUCAUUCAAGUGUACAAAUGAUAGUCACAUGGGUAUAACAAUUAUAAACUAAUGAAUCAUCUCUCUUUACAUAUAAAUAUAUAUAUAAUAUAUAUGUCUAUAAAUGAAAUAUAUAAAAGCAUGACAUACUGGUAGGAAAUGUUGUGUACCCAACUUAGUUACUUUGGUAAUCUGAAAUAUUGACAAUCUAAGUCUUAAGGGACUUAGAAUGGUGGGGUGAGCAUUUUGACAUAGCUAUUAAGAAAAAGCUUGGGGGCCGGCGCCGCGGCUCACUAGGCUAAUCCUCCGCCUAGCGGCGCCGGCACACCGGGUUCUAGUCCCGGUCGGGGCGCCGGAUUCUGUCCCGGUUGCCCCUCUUCCAGGCCAGCCCUCUGCUGUGGCCAAGGAGUGCAGUGGAGGAUGGCCCAGGUGCUUGGGCCCUGCACCCCAUGGGAGACCAGGAAAAGCACCUGGCUCCUGGCUCCUGCCAUCGGAUCAGCGCGGUGCGCCGGCCGCAGCGCGCCGACCGCGGCGGCCAUUGGAGGGUGAACCAACGGCAAAGGAAGACCUUUCUCUCUGUCUCUCUCUCUCACUGUCCACUCUGCCUGUCAAAAAAAUAAAAAAAAAAAAUAAAAAAAAAAAAAAAAAAAAAAAAAAGCUUGGGAUGCCUGUAUACCUUACCAGAGUUCCUGGGUUCAAUUCCUGGCACUAUUCAUGAUUCAAGCCACAUGCUAAAGUGUAUUUUUAGAUGCAACAGAUGAUGGUUCAAGUAGUUGGGUCUCUACAACCCAUGUUGGAGAUCCAGAUUGAGUUCCCAGCUCCUGGAUUUAGCAUACUCCUGUCCUAGCAGUCAAGGACAUUUGGAGUAUGAACAUGUUCUCUUCCAAUCCCUUGCCUCACCUCACCUUGCCUUUUCCUUCCCUUCUCUCUCUUUUCUUAUUCUCUUUCUCUUUCCCCCUCCCUCCAUCUAUCUCUGUCCCUCUUUCUCUCUUUCCUUUACAAAUAAAAAAGCAAAUUAAGAAAGAAAUAUAUGAUUAUGUAUGCAGUCACCCAAAGAAUAGAAAUAUCAAGAAAUUUUGUUUUUCUCAAACACAGAUAUACAAAAGGAUUUCUUUUCAUUUAUUGAGGAAGAUUUAAUGUUUUUAUGUGCAUACACUGUCCUUAAACACAAAGUCUACAUUAUGAGAAUGUACUCUGAAUCAGCUGAAUUUGAAAAAAAUGCAUUAAACAAAUCUGAACUCUCUAAAAAGUCUACCAUAUUUAUAUCUCCAGUAUUGCAAGUGAUGCAAAGCUGAAAUACUCAUCAUAGUGAAGCAUGAAAAAAGUGUUGUAAAUUUGAAACAGUGGGAAAAAAGGAAAAAAUAGAAAGAAAACAUAGAGAGAAAAGUUGAUAUAUGAAAAAGUUAUUGUAUAGAGUAUUGGUAACUGCAUCCAGGUUAUCUGUAAGAGCAGGCUUAUGCACAUGGACAUUGACUGUAAUUUGAAGUCUUGCAUUGUGAUGAACAGUUGCUUUUAUCCUAGUAGGGCAUGA